rnacentral:rRNA from 1 species
ACGCUCGACACCUACGGGAGGCAGCAGUGGGAAUAUUGCACAAUGGGGGAAACCCUGAUGCAGCGACGCCGCGUGAGCGAAGAAGUAUCUCGGUAUGUAAAGCUCUAUCAGCAGGGAAGAAGAUGACGGUACCUGACUAAGAAGCACCGGCUAAAUACGUGCUAGCAGCCGCGGUAAUCUGAGCGGGCUGGCAAGGC